rnacentral:misc_RNA from 1 species
ACAGAAUAUUCAGUUGUGAAUAGUAUAAAACCUGAAACUUCGAAAACUCGCUCCUGCCUCUAACUCCGUGGCAUCGUAACCGUGACAAGUGUCGUUUUGAAAGUCACACCCGAGAUUCACGUACGGAUCACGUACAUCGGCAUUCGCAUCGCGAUACGCGCGUCCUUACUAUCAAUUGUCCAGUAUUUUCUUCGUCUUCUCUCGCAAUUUACCAAAGCACGCGACUGAAAGUGUCAACGGUGAAUCCCCGGCCGCGUUCCUGCAUAACGGAGGGUGUUCUAAAAGUGCGGCAGUCCGAUAAAUUAAAAGUACAACGUGACAUAGUUAGUUUCAGAGGGUAAAUGGCCGCAUCGAGCGAACGAUGCUGAGGCCCUCUCGGGGAGUGCGCAAGUGAGUGAGAAUUUGUUUCACGCAGACGGUUCUUCGGUGGAAACGUACAGCUGAUACAGCUUAAAUGUUGCGCUCCUUUAUCCAGUGCGGAAAAUUCGCCUACGAAAAGCAUUACCGCAACGCGGUGGGUUCCAGGGUUUGCAGAAACAGCCGCAAGUUUCACAAGUCGAAUAGUUGCAAACACGGAAAUUUAAGGAAGAACCUCGAUGAACUUUCGAAAGGAUGACGCGGGCCACUCGGCUUGAUCGGGUCGACCUCAUUUGUGAAAUUACUCCUGUUAUUAACCUGAUAGGUAUAUGGGUGGUUAUCCCCCGUGCACACAGACACGCGUGUGCAUGAAUGCGUGGACGCGAGCAUAUAUCGAACCAUAAUUGUCCAUUCGCGAGGCCCUCGGUCCGAUCGGCGCCGCAUCGUCAAGUGGCGGGCAAGUGGCGGAGGCGGCUGAUCAUGGUGGGGACUAAAUUACCACAAUUUUGUACUCCUUUUUUUCACUCGGAAAAAAACAACAACAACGAGGAUGAUCAUUUUUGGUGGAAAAGCAACAAUUUUAUCGGGCGUUGUUAUACGCGAUCAGUUGGCGUCUACUGCGGCAACGCUUUACACCUGCCCCUCGUGCAGCUCCCGCGGGAUAUCCUCCGAGUCCGAGUGCAUUAUAUCCUCAUGCGCGAGGCGGGUUUCUUUAACGGUUCCUUCUUUUCGCCACCGGAUAUUUUUGCCGUUAUCGCUUUCGAUCUUCCGUGAUUUCGCAAAUCUUUCUCGCCCCAAAAAUUUAGUCCACGUAUAACCUGUGAUCGUGAAAGUACUCAAGCUCCGUUCCAAGCAUGGCCGACUCGCUGUCUCUGAGUUAUUCGAUUUUUCGUUAAGGAUGUAGUUCACACGCUAGUCCUUCACUGUCUCUAAUCUCCGACGAACCACGAUAAUUCGCUUGCUAUGUCGGAAUCGAUGGAUCCCAAAGUACUCACGUAUCUGUAAAGAAAAUUACGGAGCAUCGGGGAUCGGUGGUGGAUCGUACCGCUGUCAAUCGGACCACCCGGAAUAUGUUGAAGACGUCCGGGAGUCCAGCUGAUUUGAAAACUAUCACUUACACGACGAAAAGAGCCACACCGCGAACUCAGAGCUAAAUAGACAGAAGUGAACUCGUUUCAUGUAUAAUAUAUUUACACCAUUUAUUAUUAUACACUCCAGAUGAAAGAAUAAUGAUUAAAGCUGUAGCUCCGAUGUUUGUCUUAUAUAGGUAUACAUCCUCAAAGACCGUGUUAAGCCUCGUUUACUCUUGAUAAAUAACCACUUGUGUAGAAGUGUUGAAGAGAAAAUAAAAAUUCUCGGAGAAUAUUGCUUGUACAUAUGUAUCCCAGUUCUCCGCCACGGUAGAAAAGUUAUGAGAUUUAUGGCUUCUAAUGAAAUACGUAAUCUAGUUGUACGUAUCACAUCUAUUAUGUGUACACGCCGCGUGAAUCAAGCUUUUUCUUUUUCUUAUACCUACUGUAGAAAAUUAUAUGAUAAUUUUCAAAAGUUUCCUGAUUGAUCUACCUACGGUGUGAGUUCAAAGUCGUUGCCGAAUCCGUUAUACGUUAUACGUUAUACUAAGUUGAAACUGACGACAAAACCUAUGUAAAUACUUUUUACAGUUUAGUAGGUAAUUACACAUCUCCGAAGCUUUUACAAUGUCUAUUGUAUAAUCGUGUACUUUGCAAGACUGUGGAAGAUUAAAAUACAAUAAAACAGUA